GAUGACGAUUACAUGGAAAAUUUCCAAAGAAGCUUUUCCAUUUUACAGAGAACCUAAAGCAUAACCUGAAUCAGCUCCCCCUUCAAAAAUUCUAUUCCUGCAGGGAAAAAGAGAGAAGAAAGCAGACGGUGGAAUCUCUCCAAGCGAUGAUAGACCGGGCUACUGGGUGACAAGUGGUGAAGCAUCCAGGAGCCAGCAGUUGCCAGUGGUCCCCUUUACCCGUGAGUUGUUCAAUGGAAGGCAGUAGGAGAACUAUCACUGUCUUCUUCAACAAAGUCACGAGACUAAAUAUUUGGAAGAGGAUUCAGAAUGGAAAUGAAAUGAGGCAUUGUGUGUUAUGCUGACCUACUUUAAACACUACUCCUGGAAAAUGGGAGUCUGCACAGGAGCUUCCUCAGAAUACUUCUCUUGGUAUGAUUCUCAUGAGACUGUACUAAAAUUAUCUCGAUGAACAACUUCGUGUUUUUUGCUUGGCAUGGGUUGUGGGAAGAAAGCAAGAAUGCACUAUAUCACCAUUUGUAUUAAUUCUUUGGACUGACAUGGUUAUUUUUAUUUGCAGCAGGUUUAUAUUAUCCUCAGAAGGAUCUUUUUACGAAGGGAUUCCUCGUAUGAGGUUCUGCCAGAGCAGAUGCACUUUAAAUGACAGGUUUAGAAUGGCCUUUUCUCUGUCAAGCAAGUUGGCACAAGCUGGUUGUCAAGCGACACAGUGGCUGGCAUCUAUUAGCUUACUGAGGAUGAAAUGAGUGGCAUUCCAUCCAAUACUGACUAUUUUUUAUUUUAUUUUUUUACGGUGUCUCCUUAAAAUGAUCAGAUGAUUGGACUCUUUGUAGGGGCCUCACUCAUGAUGAAAUGCAACCCAUUACUAACUAUCCAAGGUGGCAAUGCUUAUUUGGUGAGUUUUGUUCCUAAUAACAAGAUGAAGGGACAGUGAGUUCCUCCUUUGUAAAGACCUGAGAAGCUCUGGGAACUGGCAGAUUCCCAAUUUUUAUUUUAAUUCUGAUUACAUAGUAAAAACAACUCACAGAAUUUAAUGUCUAAUUUGAGACACUUUAAUCUUCGUUUCAUCCAUUAAUUUGUCAAGACAAUGUUGAAAGAGAAACUUGAAAGCAAGUUCUCCCUGUCAGAAAAACCCUUUCAGGGCCUUGAGGAAAAAUCUCUCUUAAUCACAUUUUAUUAUACUUUUUUCUAAGUAUCUGAACAAGGAGCCCAUAACACAGGCAUGAGUCUGAACACCAAUUCUUAUUCCAGAUAGCAACAAGUCAUACUGGAUGCAAUCUCAACCUCUUUAUGCACUUAGUAAUUCCUAUAUCCCACAAUUAUUUGUGCAGUGUUAAGAAACUCAACCCUGUGGAUUUCAGUUUGCUCAUCUACAAAAUCAUAAUAUUGGACUAAUUGAUCUUUAAGGUCCUGUCAGAUUUUUAAAAUUAUCUUUUUUUAAAAAAAGUAUUUUAUUAAAGACAAUGUUAGAAGUAAAAACAAUGGCAUCAUUAUCAUUUAUUCAAUCUAACCUGUCUAACCAUCAUAUCUGAAUUUAGUACUUAAAGCUUGGGGUUCUUUAUUCUCAGACUUUACUGUUAAUACUGAUGAACUCCAACUCAUGAAUUUAGUGAAAUACAAAUACCCUUCUCUGGGAGUAAACUGUAAUAAUAUGCUUCUAUGUUGGGGGGAGAAAAACCCCAAACAGACCUUUUUUCUUUUAGAUUUUGAAUGGCUUGUCUAGCUCUUCCCCU